UCCCUCAAGGACUAGUGGUUAGGCCACAGCACUCUCACCACUGUGGCCUGGGUUUGAUUCCCGGCCAGGGAA
rnacentral:tRNA from 1 species